ACCUUCUACCAUACUCUGGGAGAGAGAGGCCAUAACCAUCAAGAUAAGACCACACAAGAAGGCUCACUGCAGACAGGUGUCCAGGGUGACCAACAUCUAAGUUCAUCACAAACAGAUAUUUGAGAGGACAGAAAUCUAACCAGUCACAUCAAAGGCCAUUGAAACCAGUUGUCAGAGUUGAUGCCAUGGGGUUCCA